AUUCCCUAUGAUGGUAAUAACUAUGCUAAUACUGAUGUCUUAUGACUGAAUCAAAGUUACGUGUCUGAGGGAAUC
rnacentral:snoRNA from 1 species